rnacentral:rRNA from 1 species
AACGAACGCUGGCGGCAUGCCUAACACAUGCAAGUCGAACGAGAACUUCGGGUCUAGUGGCGCACGGGUGCGUAACGCGUGGGAACCUGCCCUUGGGUUCGGAAUAACUCCCCGAAAGGGGUGCUAAUACCGGUUAAUGUCUUCGGACCAAAGAUUUAUCGCCUUUGGGUGGGCCCGGGUUGGAUUCGCUGGUUGGUAGGGUAAAAGCCUACCAAGGCGACGAUCCAUAGCUGGUCGGGGAGGAGGCUCCGCCCCACUGGGACUGAGACACGGCCCAGACUCCUACGGGAGGCAGCAGUGGGGAAUAUUGGACAAUGGGCGAAAGCCUGAUCCAGCAAUGCCGCGUGAGAGAUGAAGGCCUUAGGGUUGUAAAGCUCUUUUACACGGGACGAUAAUGACAGUACCGGGAGAAUAAGCUCCGGCUAACUCCGUG